UGUCUAGUGGCAGGGGGUUGGAAUCGGAUGAGCUUUAAGGUCCUUUCCCACCCAAACCCUUCUAGGAUUCUGCAAUUCUAUAUGACUCUAUGAACAG